GACGAACGCUGGCGGCGUGCUUAACACAUGCAAGUCGAACGGAAAGGCCCUGCUUUUGUGGGGUGCUCGAGUGGCGAACGGGUGAGUAACACGUGAGUAACCUGCCCUUGACUUUGGGAUAACUUCAGGAAACUGGGGCUAAUACCGGAUAGGAGCUCCUGCUGCAUGGUGGGGGUUGGAAAGUUUCGGCGGUUGGGGAUGGACUCGCGGCUUAUCAGCUUGUUGGUGGGGUAGUGGCUUACCAAGGCUUUGACGGGUAGCCGGCCUGAGAGGGUGACCGGCCCCAUUGGGACUGAGAUACGGGCCAGAGUCCUACGGGAGGCAGCAGUGGGGAAUAUUGCACACUGGGCGGAAGCCUGAUGCAGCAACGCCGCGUGCGGGAUGACGGCCGUCGGGUUGUAAACCGCUUUCGCCUGUGACGAAGCGUGAGUGACGGUAAUGGGUAAAGAAGCACCGGCUAACUACGUG
rnacentral:rRNA from 1 species